UGGCCAAGACUUUACUAAAUUGAAAUACAGCGAUACAUCAACUCCAAUAAUCUAGAGGGAUCACUCCCAUUUUGAUCCACAUACAGACUUCGCAAGUACUUGACUGUACCUAGUAGCCUUUCGUCACUGCAUUAAAAAUCCAAGUAGUUCGGCACCAAAGCACAGUGAGUUGCUUGCAAGUCACUAUAGUGAUCUCAGGUCUGAAGGACAUUUAUAUCCAUAUGUUUCGCGAGCAGCUCUUGACAGCAGAACGCUUAGCAGGUGAGUCAUUUUGUUCAGUGACGAUGUACCCUUACAUCUCACCUGUAUGCCAUACCAAUGUCAUCAUACUCUUUGGUUAAGAAGAUAACUCAUCCAUAUGGCACACAACGACUUUCACUUAAUAAAUGUCAUCGUCCCGUAAUGACGUAUCAUUUGAUCACGAACUUGUUUAACAACUAUACGAUAAAUCCUCUCUUUAUCGUAUACUAG
rnacentral:lncRNA from 1 species